rnacentral:rRNA from 1 species
UGAUGAUGACAAUUUUUUACCUAUAUGUCUUGACCAAGUCUCGUGCCAGCMGUCGCGGUAAUACGUGGAAGACUAGUGUUAUUCAUCUUUUUUAGGUUUAAAGGGUACCUAGACGGUAUUUCUAGCCCAAAAUAGGGUACGGAUUUACYAGAGUUUUAUGUGAGGAGGGGAGUACUCGUAGAGUAGAGAUGAAAUUUUGUUAUACUWUGAGGUAACUGGUGGCGGCGAAAGCAACCUUCUAUGUGUAAACUGACGUUGAGGGACGAAGGCUUGGGUAGCAAAUAGGAUUAGAUACCCUAGUAGUCCAAGCAGACAAUUYUGAAUGCCAUAGAUUAGAUUAUUUUUGGUCUAUAAAUGAAAGUGUAAGCAUUCCACCUUAGGAGUAAUGUGGCAACACAGGAACUGAAAUCAUUAGACCGUUUCUGAAACCAGUAGUGAAGUAUGUUAUUUAAAUUGAUGGUCCACAAAAAACCUUACCACAACUUGAAUAUUUUUAAUUAAUACAAGCGUUGCACGGCUGUCUUCAGUUAAUGUCGUGAGAUUUUGGUUAACUCCAUUAAUUAACGUAAACCCUUACUUUAUUUUUUUUUUAAAGUAGA